rnacentral:rRNA from 1 species
GGUAGUACGAGCGCAAGCUUAAAACUCAAAGGAAUAGACGGGGGCUCGCACAAGCGGUGGAUCAUGUGGCUUAAUUCGUCGAUAAGCGAAAAACCUUACCUAGGCUAGAUAUCAUACUGCACGCUUCGGGAAACCGAAGAAGCCUUCGAGGGUGUAUGACAGGUGAUGCAUGGCCGUCGUCAGUUCGUGUCUUGAGAUGUUCCCUUAAGUGGGGAAACGAACGCAACCCUCGUUGCCUGUUACAAGUGUCAGGCGAGACUGCCCCCUCACGGGGGAGGAAGGUGAGGAUGACGCCAGGUCAGCAUGUCCCUUGAUGCCUAGGGCUGCACACGUGAUACAAUGGGAUGUACAAAGGGACGCAAUACAGUAAUGUGGAGCAAAUCCUGAUAAAACAUUCCUCAGUUCGGAUUGUGGGCUGCAACUCGCCCACAUGAAGUCGGAAUCGCUAGUAAUCGUGAAUCAGCACGUCACGGUGAAUACGUUCCCGAGCCUUGUACUCACCGCCCGUCAAGUCAGGGGAGUCGGAAGUGCCCGAAGGUCGUCCUUGCGGCGAACUACGGUAAAUUCGAUAACAAGGACUAAGUCGUAACAAGGCACGGCUAGCGGAAGCUG